AAAGAGUACCGCAAGGACCUGAAGAAUGACAUCAUGGGUAAAGGCAUGGAGAUCAGUGGUGACGUGCUGGAGAGGCAGAGGGCCAAGAAGGCCACUGAGUUAACCAGCCAGGAAGUGAUGUCACUGAGUACUGCCCCUGUAUAUAGGACCUUCCACCCCCACCUGGGAUAUGGAUGCCUGAUGAAAACCUAGGGGUCGAAACGUUGUUGUAAAUAAAUAUCACCUGGGAGAAUGAGCAGCAGUGUGCAGAGUUUUCCUUUCUGUUUUCCAUGAGUUUGCCUACAACUCCAACACCUGCAGAAAGUACCAGCAUGCCUCCUGCAAGCAGACAGCCCUGCUGAGGGAGAACUCAUAUUGAACAGUGUCCGAGACACAUCAGAACUACUGCACGCCGCCUACCUGAAAGAUGUCUACAGUCAGGUAGGGAUAACUCUCAGUACAGCAUCCCACCACGCAUAGCACUUUAUUUUACACCACAGAAUGGGAUAUGUGCUUGGAUGGUGUGUCAAUCUCCCUCAACUUUAUGCAGAAGAAGUACAAGGAUGAGAAGCCGAAGGGUUCAUAUGGGUUCGACACCCCUGAGAUUGAGAGAGUGAAGAACAACCAGAGAAACAUCAGCUCAGUGAGGGACACAGUACACACACUUUUAUGCAGUAUUAUCUGUCAACAUAGUUACCCUUUUGCUCCAAACCUCCAGUGUCAGUACACUUGGGACUCAAAGCUGCUGAAAAGCCUGAUGUCUUCUGUCACCGACACUCCGGAAAUCAUCUUCGCAAAGGGAGAACAAAGAAAAUCAGUGACGUAAGAUGUGAUCCUUUGUUCUACACAACCAUGUACCUACCGUACAUGUAGUCGUUGGGCUGGAUGAACUCCAGUAUGUUGCUGUGAGGGUAUUGUUCAGCCUCUAGCAGAAAAGGCCGUACCUAAAUCUAUUAAUGUACUUCACUUUCUUAUCGUAACAAGGUCUUCAACUAUCAACAAGAUGAUGAGGAUGAGUGAUGGUGUCAUUUGUACAAUGAGCAUGUAAACAGGGCCACUGUAAGAUUGUGUUGACGGCUCUGUUCCAUGUCCAGGUGAAAUACAGAGACUGGGUCGGGAGGGGGACAGUAGUCAUGGAAACUGUUGACAUGGAGAUGGUCCGCAGAAACCAGGAGAACAUCAGCUUGGUAAAGCAUAAAAAGCAGCUGCAGGCCACCAGUGUGGGAGUCACCCCAGAGUCCGUCAGAACCAGGAGAACAUCAGCUCAGCAAGUCACAUAGGCUGCAUCUGAAAUGGCAACCUACAGUAUAUGUGAAGUACCAGCGCGGGAUGAAGGGGCGGUCCUGCGGCGAGUUGGACACGCCCGGACUGAGUAGUGUCAGGGAGUCCCAGAACCACAUCUAACACGACCGAAGCGCACCGCAUGUGGGACUGCUGCACUUUUAACCCACACGUCUAAAGAGUUAACAAGGAAACAGCCAUGCUGUUUUGAGGGAGCCAUAAUGAAUGUACUGUAUUGUGUCUGUGAGCGUGUCUGUGAGCGUGUCUGUGUGUGUGCGUUACUAAUAAAGUGAUUUUUACAUGG